GUUGAGGUCUAUCCCGAUGGGGCUUUUUCUGUAGCCACACAUCGUUGGAAACGCCUCAUAGAGUAACACUGUGGUUUUGCUUUACUCACAGGACUAUUUGUUAGGUCUGUGGAAAGAACUACAAGACAAUU